UACGUAGGGACCGAGCGUUGUCCGGAAUCAUUGGGCGUAAAGAGCGUGUAGGCGGCUUGCUAAGUCUUGCGUGAAAUCUCGGGGCUCAACCCUCGAGCGGUCGUGGGAAACUGGCAGGCUAGAGUGCGGGAGAGGAGAAUGGAAUUCCUGGUGUAGCGGUGAAAUGCGCAGAUAUCAGGAAGAACACCCGUGGCGAAGGCGGUCUCUGUA
rnacentral:rRNA from 1 species